AGUAAGGAAUAUUGGUCAAUGGACGCAAGUCUGAACCAGCCAUGCCGCGUGGAGGAUGAAGGCCCUCUGGGUUGUAAACUUCUUUUAUCUGGGAAGAAAAAAGGGAAUUCUUUCCCGUCUGACGGUACCAGAUGAAUAAGCACCGGCUAACUCCGUGCCAGCAGCCGCGGUAAUACGGAGGGUGCAAGCGUUAUCCGGAUUCACUGGGUUUAAAGGGUGCGUAGGUGGGCGAGUAAGUCCGUGGUGAAAUCCUGCAGCUUAACUGCAGAACUGCCAUGGAUACUAUUUGUCUUGAAUAUCGUGGAGGUCAGCGGAAUAUGUCAUGUAGCGGUGAAAUGCUUAGAUAUGACAUAGAACACCCAUUGCGAAGGCAGCUGACUACGCGAAUAUUGACACUCAGGCACGAAAGCGUGGGGAUCAAA
rnacentral:rRNA from 1 species